CGAACGCUGGCGGCGCGCCUAACACAUGCAAGUCGAACGAGCGAGAGAGAGCUUGCUUUCUUGAGCGAGUGGCGAACGGGUGAGUAACGCGUGAGGAACCUGCCUCAAAGAGGGGGACAACAGUUGGAAACGACUGCUAAUACCGCAUAAGCCCACGACCCGGCAUCGGGUAGUGGGAAAAGGAGCAAUCCGCUUUGAGAUGGCCUCGCGUCCGAUUAGCUAGUUGGUGAGGUAACGGCCCACCAAGGCGACGAUCGGUAGCCGGACUGAGAGGUUGAACGGCCACAUUGGGACUGAGACACGGCCCAGACUCCUACGGGAGGCAGCAGUGGGGAAUAUUGCACAAUGGGGGAAACCCUGAUGCAGCGACGCCGCGUGGAGGAAGAAGGUCUUCGGAUUGUAAACUCCUGUUGUCGAGGAAGAUAAUGACGGUACUCAACAAGGAAGUGACGGCUAACUACGUGCCAGCAGCCGCGGUAAAACGUAGGUCACAAGCGUUGUCCGGAAUUACUGGGUGUAAAGGGAGCGCAGGCGGGAAGGCAAGUUGGAAGUGAAAUCCAUGGGCUCAACCCAUGAACUGCUUUCAAAACUGUUUUUCUUGAGUAGUGCAGAGGUAGGCGGAAUUCCCGGUGUAGCGGUGGAAUGCGUAGAUAUCGGGAGGAACACCAGUGGCGAAGGCGGCCUACUGGGCACCAACUGACGCUGAGGCUCGAAAGUGUGGGUAGCAAACAGGAUUAGAUACCCUGGUAGUCCACACUGUAAACGAUGAUUACUAGGUGUUGGAGGAUUGACCCCUUCAGUGCCGCAGUUAACACAAUAAGUAAUCCACCUGGGGAGUACGACCGCAAGGUUGCAACUCAAGGGAAUUGACGG
rnacentral:rRNA from 2 species